rnacentral:rRNA from 1 species
UUGAUCUCGGAUCAGGUAGGAAUACCCGCUGAACUUA